CUCUGCAAAAAUGUUAUUUCGACGAACGCAAGGCCGAGACUAUCUUGUUCACUGUCAUAUCAUCAGCCCCUAGCGAAAUGACUAAGUAUAUAGUAAGAGCUUAAGAAGUAUUUAAUGAAUUGAAUUGAAAUUGAAAUUCCGUAUUCCCUUUGUAAAAGGCAACUGUCCUUGAAAUGAGCAACACGCUAAACCAUGUUAUACUAAAGCUGUAUAUUCUCAGGCAAAAUCCUAGAAGGCAAUGUUGGACAAGAAAGUUAUGUACAAAUGGUAUAAAGAGGCUUCAAACAGUAUGGAUGUCUUCGGUUGAGAUUAACUGGAUAUGGUUUCUCAUUACAAAGUUAAAACGUUGUGGAGAGGCAAGAGUGAAUGACGGCAUUACAUCACUAACCACCAGCCACCAUCUUUUGGACUGAUGGUCAUUGCAUAGUCAGGAAGCAUCAGCAGGAUCUCUAUCUGCAACUCUACCCUACUUUGCUCCAGAAAUACAAGAACUAGUGAUUUCUCCUGGUGACUGUUCCAUACACGGACCAGAGAUAGUCUUCCUGCACAUAAGACCAGUUGCAGAUUGGCUGGCCUUCCCUUCCAUCUGCUAUUCUCCCCACCGUCCAACCUUUGUCUUGACUGUAAUCACAUGAUAUUUUCUGAGCCAAAAGUGUCCAACUGACCCAGAAUUCCUGAGCCACAACACAGCUUCAACAUGACAAAAGCUUGGAUGUCAUCAUUCCGGUCCUUAAACAAGAAAAAGCUUCAUGAACUGAAGAACAAUAACUUUUCUGGGACCAAUCAGAAAACUGAGAUUGUAGGGCAAACUAACAUCCCCAAAUUUAUAGACAUAGCUAUAUAGAGAGUCUCAGUUGAAAUCUGCUUAUCUGGAGCAGGAGCUGCUGAAGCCAUAAAAUGUUCCUAGUGCCUUAUACAACACAUCUGGCUUUCAAUAAAAUGUUUCAAGGCAUUCCACAAAAAUAGGGAAAAUCAACAAAAGCAAAAGCUGGUUCUCUGAGUUGAUAAAUACAACUAAUAAACCUGUAGCCAGACUAACCAAGAAAAAAAUAGAGAAGAUGCAAACUUCCAGUAUCAGAAACAAAAGAGGAUCCAUCACUAUAGAUCUCCUAGACAUUAAAAGGACAAUGAAGGAAUACUGCCAACAAUCCUAUGCCUACAAAUCUGCUAGUUUAGUGAAAGGGACUAACUCCUUGAAAGAUACAAUCUACCGAAGCGGACACAGGGAGAAGCAGAUAACCUAAAUAGUUCUAUUAGUAUUAAAGAUAUUGGAUCAAUAAUAAAUACCCUUCCCAAAAGGAGAACACCAGGCCCAGAUAGUUUCACUGUUGAAGUCUAUCAGUACUUAAGAGAUAAUACCACAUUUCAUAAUCUCUUCCAGAAAAUUAUAUCAGAGGAAGCACUUCCUAACAUUCAGUAGGC